UGCGGAGUAGAGCAGUUCGGUUAGCUCGCAGGGCUCAUAUCCCUGAGGUCGUCGGUUCAAAUCCGACCUUCGCUCCCA
rnacentral:tRNA from 1 species